rnacentral:tRNA from 3 species
GCCGCUGUGGCGGAACUGGCAGACGCGUAUCGUUCAGGUCGAUAUGAGAGUAAUCUCGUGCAGGUUCGAUUCCUGUCAACGGCA